rnacentral:rRNA from 1 species
AGAGUUUGAUCCUGGCUCAGGAUGAACGCUAGCGGGAGGCCUAACACAUGCAAGCCGAGCGGUAGAGAUUCUUCGGAAUCUUGAGAGCGGCGUACGGGUGCGUAACACGUGUGCAACCUGCCUUUAUCUGGGAGAUAGCCUUUCGAAAGGAAGAUUAAUAUCCCAUAAUAUAUUGAUUGGCAUCGAUUGAUAUUGAAAGCUCCGGCGGAUAAAGAUGGGCACGCGCAAGAUUAGAUAGUUGGUGAGGUAACGGCUCACCAAGUCGAUGAUCUUUAGGGGGCCUGAGAGGGUGAUCCCCCACACUGGUACUGAGACACGGACCAGACUCCUACGGGAGGCAGCAGUGAGGAAUAUUGGACAAUGGGUGGAAGCCUGAUCCAGCCAUCCCGCGUGAAGGAAUAAGGGCCUAUGGCUUGUAAACUUCUUUUGUACAGGGAUAAACCUACCCUCGUGAGGGUAGCUGAAGGUACUGUACGAAUAAGCACCGGCUAACUCCGUGCCAGCAGCCGCGGUAAUACGGAGGGUGCAAGCGUUAUCCGGAUUUAUCGGGUUUAAAGGGUCCGUAGGCGGGCUUAUAAGUCAGUGGUGAAAGCCGGCAGCUUAACUGUCGAACUGCCAUUGAUACUGUAAGUCUUGAGUAUAUUUGAGGUAGCUGGAAUAAGUAGUGUAGCGGUGAAAUGCAUAGAUAUUACUUAGAACACCAAUUGCGAAGGCAGGUUACCAAGUUAUAACUGACGCUGAUGGACGAAAGCGUGGGGAGCGAACAGGAUUAGAUACCCCGGUAGUCCAA